CACCUUUUUUGCCGUAGGCAUCUGCUGCACAUUUUCUCAAGGAAAGAAUGGGACUUUUACAUUUAACGGUUGUAUUAGCUGUCGUCCUUGGGUACGGUUGUCAUUAUUCUGAUCAAUAUGGUGAACGCAAUAACAACUUCCGGCAUGGAGGACAAAGACGUUCUGGCAAUCAUUAUGGCCACCUUGAAUGCAUGAGAAAAUGUAAAGCUCGGAAGAUAGAUUAUUGGCAGAGGUUUUGUCCUUCGGAGCCUAUUAGAAUAUACUGUGAUGACAUAUAUUCAAUUAGAAUAAAAACUGCUAAGUAUGGAAGCUUACCAUGUCGACCGGCUAAUAUACGAUUCAAAGGAAAACUCAAAUGUCAAGUUGCUCAUGCGAAAGUUUUGGCGCACACUAAAAAAAAUUGCGAAUACAAAAAAGAAUGUACAGGACAUACCAGUAGAAAACUAUUCGGGAAAUUGCCUCUGUUCUACAAAGGUUGUGCCCACAGUCAUAAAGUUAGCUUCUAUGCUGAAUAUCAAUGCAUACCUUCAAAAACAUUUUGUGGAGCUUUUUGCAGAUGCCGGAGUGCAUCUCGAUAUAUAUCUUACGACAAAGGUAGACAACAUAGUGCUGCAUAUUGUAAACAGAACUACAAGAGAUUUAUAAAUUGGUAAAACGUCAAGACUUACUUUCCACGAAGGUGUUAUAUAGAAUAAAAUUGCUUAAAAGAGGGACGAAAGAUACCAGAGGGACAUUCAAACUCAUAGAUUGAAAACAAACUGACAACCCCAUGGCUAAAAUAAAAAGACAAACAGACAAAUAGUACAGAUGACACAACAUAGACAUGAAAGAAAACUGAAGUCUAAGAAACACGAACCCCACCAAAAACUGGGGGUGAUCUCAGGUGCUCCGGAAGGGUAAGCAGAUCCUGCUCCACAUGUGUCACCCGUCGUGUUGCUUAUGUUACUACAAAUCCGGUAAAUAGUCUAACUCGGUUGGUCACAUUCGUGAAAAGGGAAGGGUAUUGUAGUUACGACAUAAGGAACAUAUCCGAUAUCAUCUGUGAAACGGUCAUUCCAUAACGGUCAACCAACUCGUGAUGGCGUCCGUAAAAUUUACGAAGGGAUGAGUUCAACUUCACCAUUUGGAAAUCUUGUUUUAAUAGCUUCCUUGUGAGCAGCAAUCCUCUAUCAAGGAAAUCAUGAUAGGAAAUACAAGCCCGGGAAUAUCGUAUCAAUUGGGAGAUAUAUACUCCAUAUGCAGGCGCUGCUGGAAUGUUGCUACAUAGAAAUAUAAAGUUCACAAAUGGGAAGCUGAAAUCAUUUCUUUUGUCGUAAAGUUUUCUUUUCAAACGACCCUCAUUGUCAAUUUCUAGAUGUAAGUCAAGAUAUGAGGCAGACUUAACUGUAUCUGUAGUAUCCUUUAUCUCUAGUUCGAUAGGAUAGAUUCGUUCAACAUAGUCACCAAAUUUUGUAUUAUUUAGUGAGAGAACAUCAUCUAAUAGCGGAACGUAAAGUUUAAGGAUAUUUAAUUGAUGGACAGAUGUUAACGUCAAUUAUCUUUUUGGAGCAUUCCUGGUUUUUGUUGGGGUUCGAUUUGAUCAGUCUUUAGUUUUCGAUGUUGUGUUUUGCAUGUUUUGUGUACUGUUGUUUGUCUUUUCGUCGUUUUUUGUUUUUUGCCAUUGCAUUGUUAGUAUGUUUUCGACUUAUGAGUUUGAAUGUCCCUUUGGUAUCUUUCGCCUCUCUUGCUUCACAUUCGACAAA